rnacentral:rRNA from 1 species
AUACGGAGGAUCCGAGCGUUAUCCGGAUUUAUUGGGUUUAAAGGGUGCGCAGGCGGGAGAUUAAGUCGGCGGUGAAAUUUUGCAGCUCAACUGUAAAAGUGCCUUCGAAACUGGUUUCCUUGAGUGUAGAUGAAGGAGGCGGAAUUUGUGGUGUAGCGGUGAAAUGCAUAGAUAUCACGAGGAAAUCCGAUUGCGCAGGCAGCGUACUAAACUACUACUGACGCUCAGGCACGAAGCCGUGGGGAUCAAACAGGAUUAGAUACCCUGGUAGUCCACGCAGUAAACGAUGAUUACUAGCUGUUUGCGAUACAAUGUAAGCGGCUGAGCGAAAGCGUCAAGUAAUCCACCUGGGGAGUACGUUCGCAAGAAUGAAACUCAAAUGAAUUGACGGGG